rnacentral:misc_RNA from 1 species
GACAACUUGAUGGGACUGUCCAGAUCACAUUUCAGCCAGCCAGACACUCUACAAGUUCUCUUCUUAUUUUUCAGUCAAUGAUGAUCACUCCACUCCCUAAAGAAGAAAAAUGGUAUCCUAUCAGAGCAGUCACUGCAGAUAGUCAUUAUGUCUAUCCCAUGAGGAUCAAUGGCCACUGCCCCUGGAAUCUCCUAGGAUCAGGAUUAUGUGAUAACGAUUGUGACUGUGAUGGAGAUUAUUGGGAGAAUGAAUAUGGACAUCCAUUGUCUAACAAAAACUGGAGAA